UAGGGUGUGAAAGAGAAGAAGAAGAUGGGACUGGGAAGCAAAGCGGGAGAGUGGGCGUUCAAAGGCCUCACUGCUGGUCUAGGAUUAGCCACCAUUUAUCUGACCGCUACUUUCUCUGUUAAUGUUUACCGAGGCCUCGCCUGGCACAACUCUCAAUCCAAAAAUGAGAAGCAGGGCUCCAAUGAGCAAUCCACUUGAUACAGGCUUCCUUGCUGCUAGGAAACCCGUCUUAUAGUUUUCAGAAUUUGUGCUGUUGUUGCCUUGUAGGAAUCUCUUAACAAAAACUUAUUUUUUAAUGCUUUACCAGAAGGGUUAUGAUCUCAUAUUCAAGUAUGUGAGGCCUCUCAGGCUUGCUUUUUGUUCUUGUUUUUCUUGUAUAAAGUUUGGAAUACAUUUUGGUUUGGAGUAUAUGGAUAAUUGUUUAGUAUGC